rnacentral:rRNA from 1 species
CCUACGGGCGACAGCAGUGAGGAAUAUUGGGCAAUGGACGCAAGUCUGAACCAGCCAUGCCGCGUGCAGGAAGACGGCUCUAUGAGUUGUAAACUGCUUUUGUACGAGGGUAAACGCAGAUGUGCGUAUCUGUCUGACAGUAUCUUACGAAUAAGGAUCGGCUAACUCCGUGCCAGCAGCCGCGGUAAUACGGAGGGUUCAAGCGUGAUCCGGAUUUGUUGGGUUUAAAGGGUGCGUAGGCGGUAGGAUAAGUUAGAGGUGAAAUCCCGAGGCUCAACUUCGGAAUUGCAUUUGAUACUGUUCGGCUAGAGUGUAGUUGAGGUAGGCGGAAUUUAGGGUGUAGCGGUGAAAUGCUUAGAGAU